rnacentral:piRNA from 1 species
UCGACAAUCCAUCCUUCCAGA